UACGGGGGGGGGCAAGCGUUGUUCGGAAUUACUGGGCGUAAAGGGCGCGUAGGCGGCUUGGCAAGUGGAUGGUGAAAUCCCUCGGCUUAACCGAGGAACUGCCGUCCAAACUGCUUUGCUUGAGACCGGGAGAGGUGAGUGGAAUUCCCAGUGUAGCGGUGGAAUGCGCAGAUAUCAGGAAGAACACCCGUGGCGAAGGCGGCUCUCUGGAACGCAACUGACGCUGAGACGCGAAAGCGUGGGGAGCAAACAGG
rnacentral:rRNA from 1 species